UCAAUGCAUACCCUCUAUAGUGAACGCUGCGUAGAUGUCUCACUGUUCGCUACAUUUUUUCAUUUGUUAUUUUUGCAGUUUCUGAUCCUCCAUACGACGUCUGUAUUUGAAUUAGGUGAGCGGAAUUCCCGGUAAGCGGGUGUUUUAUUGGUAGCCGAUAAAAGUUAACCAGGCUCCCCAUAUAAUAGGCGUUUGUGCUGUUAGUUUCGCUUUUUAAUCGUUGUAAAAUGUCUUUGAGAAGUUCUGGGACGACGUGUGCAGUUCGUGGCUGUCACAAUAAUCGGACGAAACUAAACAUGUGGUUAAAACAAGAGUGUUAUGAUCACAAACCGCUUACAAAAUCACAGUGCUCCUGUCCCCAAUGGUUUUCCUUCUAUCGACUGCCUACUGCCGAAGAGGACAGAAGGAUUUGGCUUCGGAACCUCUAUUUGAAAAAGCCUCCGAAGAAUCUUUUCGUGUGCUCUUUUCACUUUGUUGACAAGAAGCCGACUGCAGAGAAUCCUUAUCCAACCCUAUGGCUCGGCUACUACAGACCUCCGGAGAAGAAGCGCCGUAAACUACAAAGGAAGGAUACAAACACGGUGUCGACAGAUGAAUGCGGUGACACAAGUAGCGAGGCUCUUGCAUACUGUGAUGCUCAAACUCGGGAUGGAUCCAACACUGGAAGACCGUCAUAAUGUGCUUUGCUGAAAUCUAACAUCAAUACAAGAAAGUGUUUGGUUUCAAACAGUAUGUCUGUGUCUAUUUCAGUGCUUCCAGAAGAGCUAUUGAAUUUUAGAUUCUUUUUUUUCUUUUUUUUUCUUAAAUGGGAUGUUAAUGACGUUCUUUACAACUGAAGCUUAAUUCAGUCAUAACAGAUCUCUCACACCGUUUUGGAAUUUCUCAGUAUUGUUGGUGUGUAGAUUGACAUAAUGGCUGUUUUCCAAAACACGGUUUGGAAAAUGGAUUCAUGAUGUAUUCGCUCAUUAUUUAAUUUUUGUACAUUUUGAAUUCAAAAAAGUUACGGACUGCAGCUUUACAGUCUGCAUGAAACUGAAGUUGCGAUAGUCUUUUCUUCCAUAUUGUGACGCAUAUUUGAGUGAAACGGCUUGUCGAACAAGAAAACAAUGUAGGGCAGGACAUGACUUUGUCCAUGGGGAAUUAAUUGGAUGCUGGAUGGUUGUGGUUUGCUAUUGGACGAUCUCAUGUGAGUGACAGGUUGUCCCGCCCUCGUGCCAGUAAACACGUCAUCAGAGAAGUGAAGAGAUGUCACUGCAAGAAGGAGGGGAAUUUAUAUGCUGCAAUAUUCCAUAAAAAAACAAGAAUUGUCAAUUUUGAUUUCAUGGUGACUUUAACCAAAGAAUCUGGAUGCAAAAAGUGAGAUUGUAACACACCAAAGGGACACUGUUAAGAAAUUACAAUCACAAACACUUUUAUUGGGCCAGAUUUACUAACGGCUUGUGCCAGUUCAAACCCUCUUUUGGUGUUAAAAACUACUGUUAGAAUUUACUAAAGACAUGCAGUGAAAAAUUAGUGCUGAAAAGGCGUGGACACAGUUAUUGUUUAGGCUGACCUUAUUGCAUAUGCAUUUGUAGGAGUUUCUCUUUUAGAUGCAAAAUUUAUGGGAGGAGAGUAUUUAAAUGAAUCACGCAAGGUGAUUUACUAAGGUUUGCUCUAGUCAAUUUACUGGUAUUUGCGUCAUUAUUUACCACCCCCCAAAAAGCAUGUCUUAAACCAGACGCUAAUUUGCGUUGCUCUUGCUAUUUAAUCAUAGAAAUAUUGCAGAAUGAGGUAUCAUGUUUCCAUAUUAAAAUAAAGGUUUUAAAAUACAAAUGUUGCCCUAUUCAAAAAGAUUUGUUUAAUAAAAAUGUUGCUAUAUUCAAAUAAAGGUUUUAAAAUGUA